UCACCUAAUUAUACUAAUUAACCUAUUAAAAACUCAGAUUUAAUCCAAUUAAUAAGCAAAAAGGUAAUUAACGAAUGAAAAGGGGCUUAGGGUUACAACCGUUGAGAUUUCUGAGUUUGCUUCUCCUCAAUCCAAACGCAAGAACGGCGGCGACGACCACAAUCUCCGGCGAAACUUUGCCCUCCCCGUCUCACUCUCGCCUCUCAAUCUCUCUCCGACUUGUACCUCUCAUCUCUCCUCUCCAAUUUCAUCUCCGAUCUCAUCUCUUCGAUGUCUCGUUUCUUCUUUAUCGGUUCAAUCUCCGAUUCUCAUCUCCGGUGAAACUAUUGCGCGUCUUCAAGCUCAACGACGAAGAGUAAUCGGAAAGCCGCAUCGGAGAGGUGAUGUUAUUGUUAUUAAUUGCAGAUUUGAUGAAGAUGAGGAUGAAGAUCGGAGUAGAGUUUAUGGAGAUUUUCUGUUGUGAAUUUCUUUGAUGAAGAAUCUAUGAAGGAUGAACGAUUGAAGAUGCUUUCAUGAAGGUGAUGAUUUUACACGGAUGAAGAAGAUGAUUGUGUAGAGUGGAAGAGAAUCGAGAGAGUCUUCGAGACUUUGGUGAAUGAAUGGUUAUCGAGAGAAAGAUGAAGAUUGAUGUUCGAACGUGUUUCUCCGAUUCAAAACGAGUUGAUGAAGAUGAUGAUGAUGAAGGUUCUUUUGUCAGUUAUCUGUGAUUGAAGUUGUUACAGUUGAAGAUGGGAAUCACAGAGAGAGGUUCUGAACUGGUGUUGAUCGUUUUCAGAGUUGAAGGAGGAUUGAAGAUUGGUGAAGGUUAAUUUAAGAGUGGUGUGGAGAGGAACGAAUCAAUGGAGGAUCAAUUGAAGGGAGAGAUGAAGUUUGUUACGUUUUUCUGCAGAAUCCCUCGAGAAAGAGAGAGUUCGAGAUUGUAUGAAGAUGGUGAAAGCGUCAAUGAAUCGAGAGCGUUAUGAAUUCUGUUACAGCUACAAGUUUUUGUUCGGAUUGAAGCUCGGUUAUUUGAAGUGCAGGGACUUGGUUUAUGAGUUCGUGAUGAAAGGAGUCAUGUUUUGAGAUUAGGAACAAAAGGCCAAGAUAUUUUUGUGUAAUUUUUUCUUGUAAGGGCUUUGACUUUAGGAAUGGUGUAAUUUUGGUUGUAAUUUUUGUAAUGGAUAUUGAUGAAUUGAAUGAAAGUAUAAAUUGGUGUAUAUAGUUUUGUAACGGUUUUUGAAAGAAUGAUAUUUGAAUGAAUGUGAAAAAUGAUAAUCUUGAAAGGAACCUGUGUUAUUUUGAAUACCUAGACAACCACUUAAAACUUCAACAUAAAUUCCGACAAUUUUGAUCAAAAAUUGAAAACCUCAACACGACAUUAUUCAUGUCUGGUAACAAGCCUAGUCUUUAAUUUGACUCAAAAUGAACCCACACGUAUCACCUCAUACCCUUGCGUAAAAUUCUUGCAACUCAAAUCCAUAUUGCCUUGACAAA